rnacentral:rRNA from 1 species
UNUGACUUGAGUGCAGAAGGGGAGAGUGGAAUUCCAUGUGUAGCGGUGAAAUGCGUAGAUAUAUGGAGGAACACCAGUGGCGAAAGCGGCUCUCUGGUCUGUCACUGACGCUGAGGCUCGAAAGCGUGGGUAGCGAACAGGAUUAGAUACCCUGGUAGUNCACGCCGUAAACGAUGAGUGCUGGGUGUUAGGCCCNUUCCGGGGCUUAGUGCCGGAGCUAACGCAAUAAGCACUCCGCCUGGGGAGUACGACCGCAAGGUUGAAACUCAAAGGAAUUGACGGGGGCCCGCACAAGCGGUGGAGCAUGUGGUUUAAUUCGAAGCAACGCGAAGAACCUUACCAGGUCUUGACAUCCCGAUGCUAUUCUUAGAGAUAGGAAGUUACUUCGGUACAUCGGAGACAGGUGGUGCAUGGUUGUCGUCAGCUCGUGUCGUGAGAUGUUGGGUUAAGUCCCGCAACGAGCGCAACCCUUAUUGUUAGUUGCCAUCAUUAAGUUGGGCACUCUAGCGAGACUGCCGGUAAUAAACCGGAGGAAGGUGGGGAUGACGUCAAAUCAUCAUGCCCCUUAUGACCUGGGCUACACACGUGCUACAAUGGUCGGUACAACGAGUUGCGAGCCGGUGACGGCAAGCUAAUCUCUGAAAGCCGAUCUCAGUUCGGAUUGGAGGCUGCAACUCGCCUCCAUGAAGUCGGAAUCGCUAGUAAUCGCGGAUCAGCACGCCGCGGUGAAUACGUUCCCGGGCCUUGUACACACCGCCCGUCACACCACGAGAGUUUGUAACACCCGAAGUCGGUGAGGUAACCUUUUAGGGGCCAGCCGC